rnacentral:sRNA from 1 species
CUGCUGGUUGAAGUAUAUAUUGAUAGGUAAUUCUUCAACUGAUGAAGAAGUGGACACAUUUUAAUUACCUUCAGAGAAAAUGGUCUGGUUGGUCUAAGACAGUACCGUUGCCUUGCAGAAAUCCGACGAUAGUUUUGCUUCUGCCAUUCGUAAAAAUAACAAGAAGGCAGACAGCAAAAAGAUGUUAUCCUUUUGUAAUGUUUAUUUUUAUCCUUACCACCAUAAUUCAAUUUAUCUGAUUUUGUUUAUAUAGCCAUCUGAAUAGCCACGGCCCAGCGUCUUGGUAACUAACAAUCAUGUGACUCACUUGCUAAUUUGCCGACUUAUAAUUAUUAAAGAAAUCAGUGCGUAAUAUUCCGUCGUAGGUAAUUUGUCAAAUAAGGAUAGAAUUACAAUUGGCAAAAGUUGCUUUUAAGCGAUUUUCUUUUUAGUCACAAUUAUUUGUUGCAUUACCGCAUACAUUGGAGUUUGUUAAAAAAGGUACGAUUUAGCAUUGCAAAAAGUAAACAGGAAUGUAUAAUUACACGUUUAACGGCACAGUGACGGAAGAAGCACUUCCAAACCACACGAGAAGUCAAUUUAUUUCAGGCAUUGACCUUAUCAACAAUUAGAAUACAUCGAACGCAUUAUUAGCAAUUAUUAAUCGGGGAAAUUGUUGGGUUGGUGAUGCAUGAAACGCUUUCGUUUUCUGAGGACGAGGGAGCAGAAUUCCACUAGUGAGCUCCGCGAGUACUCAUCGCUACAGUUCGUUUUCAUGACUGCAUCGCAACGCGCGUCCAGUCACUACUCGGUCUCAACUUAAACGUAAAUCACGUUUUCGUAAAAUGUUAAGUGUGUUGUUAUAAAAGACAGUGGUAAUAUCAAUAUGUACUACAAGCAGGUUUAUGUCUAUUUCAUAACUUUGUUAAUUCUUAAUGGCGAAGUAAAUGGAAAGAAAGCGAAGAAGACCAAAUAUCCACCGAUUAAGGAAGACGACACUUCUCCGCAACCGAACGUUGUUGCUUAUUCAACUUUCGGGUUUAACGACGUGGGUUCGUACGAUGGUUUCGUACCCAGUUCCCCAGAUUAUUCCAGCUUUCUAAGUGGUGCCAAUCAAGAAUCCACCACUAGAUUAUACGCCCCUGCUUUUCCUACGGCGUCAGAUAUUCUUGAAAAUAACUAUGGAUCUCAACCAUUCGAAGGACAGACCUUCAAUGACGAUGGUGAGCAGUCCAGCAUGUUGCAGUAUCCUCAGAGCACUAUGACCUUGUUCGGUACUCCCAUUCUUGAAAGCGACGAUUUUCCUAAAAAUAAAGAUAGUGAUGAACCGUAUCGACCCAGCUAUGAUGAUACAAAUUCUCCCGUUUAUGGAACAAAACUAAACUUAAGAAAUAAAAAUAAAUUUGUACACCGAUUAAAUAAUAGUGAGUUGCAAACAUUCGAUGGCGGUUAUUCAAGUUUUAAAGAUGAUAAUUUCCCCAACUUUGUAGACGCGCAACCAAUACAUGAAAACAAACAGAUCCAUAAUGAGCCUGAUAAAAAUUAUAACAAGGUUCCAUUGCCAUCUUUUCCUACGAGUAGUUUUGAAAGUUACGUGAAGCCACAGACAAACAAUGUGCCAAAUCAAUUAAAAUUUCCAACUGUUGUUGAUUUUACUAACAUGAAAACAAUAUAUUCAACUGCAUUAGAUAACAUAGUUACAACGACUUCCAAACCAACAAACCCUUUUAUUUUCUCAAACCCCUCAAGACUUCAGCAUUUGGAACUUUCGACACUAAAACUAAUGAAGAGACUACUACAGGAGAAAGAUAAUAUUUUAAAAUCAAAUCCAUAUUUUGAUUAUGACCCGUCUUAUAGUUUUCCUACAUCAAAUAGUAAAAACACUGCUGCCAAUGUAAAACCAAAUUCGGAACAUAAAAGAAAUCCAAAAAUAAGCCUUGGUCAACACAUCAAAAUUUCACAAACAACUUUAAAAAUUGGAAAGAUGUUUCUGCUCUUAAAGGUUAUGAAUAUACUACAAAUAACAGUAACAUGACUUUUAAAUAUGAGUUUGAUGAUAAAAAGAAGCCGUUCCGUAAUAAUGUUGAUGAAAUUGUACCAGCUAGUAGUAAUGUAGCUAACUAUCAGUUUCCUGGGACUGAUUACUCAAAGUUCAAAAAAAUACCAAAAGUCACCGACGACGAUGACUUCUCCGCUUUUGGUUUUACGAAAGACUCAAAAUGGAAAGACAAUGACUAUUCUAAUUUAUACAAAGAUUUAUUUAGCACAGUGCCUACUACUACGUCAUACUGGGGUAACGCGUUUGGCUCCAAUGAUUAUGCAUUUUGAAAAAUAAUCCAAAACAAUCACCAUAUGUUGACGAUAUUGAGGAAGAAGUCGUAAAUAUACCGAAACGUCCUUACAAAUCGAGUUUGGGUAAACAUACAGAAAAUAUACCAAGUGAAUGGUCGUUUGGCAGUCAAAGACCUUAUAAAUUAAGCAAGCCACAGAAAGAUUGGAAUAAAGAGGUCAAUAAUCGUUUUAAGUCAGAAGAAGAUUUAUUGGGAUUAAGAAACCACGAUACAUCCCACCCUUCCUAUAUACCAACUUAUAAGCCGACGUAUGAGAAUAAUAUUCAAGAAGACAAUUAUAAAGACUACAGAAACCUAAUAGAAAAAUGGAGACAAUCGUAUUUGAAAUCAAAAUUGAAAGAUUCGUUGCGUGACUACGAGGCGUUUGCGACUGAAAACAAACCUCAACACGUGCCAAUGCCAAAGCCAUACCCGGUAAAAGUUCCCCAUCCGGUAAUAGUGCCGGUUCCUCAGCCUUAUCCGGUUCGCGUCCCCAUUUCCAAGCCGGUUGCCGUGCCCGUCAUCCAGGAGUUGAAAGUUCCCAUCGAGAAGCCGGUGCCAUAUCCAGUCUUCAAAAACGUCCCCUAUCCUGUAGAGAAGCCUGUUCCUGUACGUGUCGAGAAAGAGGUGGCCGUCCCAGUGAUUAAGCCUUACCCAGUUCCGGUGCCUUACGUGAGACCUGUUUUUCAUCACACGAGGCACCCGCACAGUGAAUUCGAUUCGGAUCAACGGAAUCAGUCCGAUGACGGCGAUUACAUGCCGCGACCUGAGGGCAGUAACAAAAAACCACAGUACAAGAGAAGACCAUACGGUUCACGGAACAGAUCACGAAGACCGUCUCGUAAUACUUACCAAGAUCGUAACAGGAGGCGAUGGCCUGACCAACGUCACCCAGCGCUAGAUCACAGAUACAAACACGCUCGCCCUGAGGAAUAUCAUCAAUCACAUUACAGACACCAUGAGCCAGAGGUGUCCGAAGAUGAUCGCAGUGAUCGGUUCCCGUAUUGCAAAAGAAAUGGACAUUGUUGAUCGCAUUUUAAAUAAUGCCCAAAUUCUAUCUUAUUUUCAUUAAAGUAUCAGCAUUUGUAAAUAAAUUAGGAAGUAAUUAAUGAAGUAUUUAGAUUGUUAGAAAACCAAUUCUACCUGCGAUUAUUCUUGUAGACAGUAGAUCUAUUUAUACUUUGUUUUAUUAAUUAUAAUUAUACAGGUAGUGUUAAGCCAAUUAGCUGUGAAAGUUGAAAAAAAUCUGUCACCAUCAAAUCAUCAAUUGUCACGAAUGUGAUGUUUGAGUGAAGGAAUUUCAAGGCCCUCUUGGAGCAUAGGGUUUUGAGCUAUCGUACCAUACAUUUACGGCGCACAAUUACGGGCGGGACAAAUUUAAAGAUUUUCGAAUAAUUGAUAAAAAAUUAUCUUGUCCUCUAGAAAAAUUUUCAACUACCAAAAUUUUUCUUAUUAAAUUGUUUAUUCAAUAGUGUUGGUUACAUAAUAAUAUAAUGUGUACUGAAUCAAAAAUUUCAGUGACAUUUUCUUUAUAAAAUAAUAUCUACAUUAUAAAAAAAUUUACCAAC